rnacentral:rRNA from 1 species
UACGUAGGUGGCAAGCGUUGUCCGGAAUUACUGGGCGUAAAGCGCGCGUAGGUGGUUCGUUAAGUUGGAUGUGAAAUCCCCGGGCUCAACCUGGGAACUGCAUUCAAAACUGUCGAGCUAGAGUAUGGUAGAGGGUGGUGGAAUUUCCUGUGUAGCGGUGAAAUGCGUAGAUAUAGGAAGGAACACCAGUGGCGAAGGCGGCUCACUGGACCGGUUCUGACGCUGAGGCGCGAAAGCGUGGGGAGCAAACGGG